AGUGGUCACUAUAAGAGCUUUUAACAUGGUGGACAGAUUCUUCCAAAACUACCUAAAGCUCAUAGACACGGAUGCAAAGCUAUUUUUCUAUUCUAAUGCAGCUAUGGAAUGGCUAGUUUUAAGAAUAGAAGCACUUCAGAAUCUAACUCUUGUCACUGCUGCUCUUCUUCUUGUUCUACUUCCCAAGGGUUAUGUUGCCCCAGGUAUAUGCAGUUGCUUACAACAGUCCUUUCCUUUGUGCUUUUGGAUUUUCAGUGUUAAAUGGUUGCCUUUUUCUUUCUUUUUCUUUUUUUACAGGGCUUGUGGGGCUAUCUCUUUCUUAUGCUCUGGCACUGACAGGCACCCAAGUGAUGCUGUCUCGAUGGUAUUGUAACUUGUCGAAUUAUAUGGUUUCAGUUGAACGGAUCAAACAGUUCAUGCACAUACCAUCUGAGCCUCCUGCAAUUGUGGAUGGAAAGCGACCACCAUCUUCAUGGCCUUCCAAGGGUAGGAUAGAGUUACAAAAUCUCAAGGUAAGGAAGCUAUUAAUCAAGUUCAUCUCUUAAAUGAUGUGUCUCAUAGCAACCUCUUGAAAGAAUGCUCUGGUGACAAUACUUAAAAGCCGACGAUUCUGUCUUCUGGUUGGUUUCAGAUAAAAUACCGCCCAAAUUCUCCACUGGUUCUGAAGGGUAUCACUUGCAUAUUCAAAGAAGGGACUAGAGUAGGGGUCGUUGGAAGGACUGGAAGCGGCAAAACUACACUGAUAAGUGCUCUAUUCCGACUAGUAGAGCCUGAAAGCGGGACAAUCCUGGUAGAUGGACUUGACAUUUGUUCUAUAGGUCUGAAGGAUUUGAGAAUGAAGCUCAGCAUCAUCCCUCAAGAGCCAACUCUUUUCAAGGGUAGCAUUCGAACUAACUUGGAUCCUCUAGGCCUCUACUCUGAGAAUGAAAUAUGGAAGGUGAGCCCUCUCCUUUCCAGUCAUGAUCUCAGUUUCUGAUUUAAGCCAAUGACGAUAAAUUAAUCACAUUAUCUUAUUUGGUUCUUUGUUGCAGGCUCUAGAGAAGUGCCAGCUUAAGGCCACAAUCAGCAGUCUUCCAAACUUGCUAGACUCAUCUGGUGAGUUCAAUUCAGUAAAAAAAAUACCUCAAAAAACUAAAGAUUGACAAUCCCUCAUACUUUAUACUAUCUUUUAAAGUUUGUGCUUGGAUCAAACAGUGAGCGAUGAAGGUGAGAACUGGAGUGCUGGGCAACGCCAGCUCUUCUGCCUUGGACGAGUUCUACUCAAGAGAAACAGAAUCCUUGUUCUAGAUGAAGCCACUGCAUCCAUAGACUCUGCCACUGAUGCAAUUCUGCAGAGAAUUAUCAGGCAGGAAUUCUCAAACUGUACAGUGAUUACAGUAGCUCACAGAGUUCCAACAGUCAUGGACAGUGACAUGGUCAUGGUCCUCUCUUAUGGUAUGAAAUUAUUCCACUCCGCAGAUUUGGGGUACUGGGUUUUGUUGAUAUUGAGCCAGCUUUCAUAAACACUGGUUGGUUUGAUUUUGUAGGGAAGCUUGUGGAGUAUGAUAAGCCUUCAAAUCUUAUGGACACCAACUCCUCUUUUUCAAAGCUUGUAGGUGAGUACUGGUCCAGCAGUAGGAGGAACUCCUAAUUGAGACCUGAAAUUGAAACUAUUUUUUCAAUGAUCUUUUGUUUUCUUCAACAAACAUGAACUGUUUGUUAUAUCAAGCCUAAUGACUAGUGAAUAGAAUUGUUUCUAACAUGAAUGGUUAACAAUUUUUUUUUCUUUUCUUGAUGCUUUCCCAAAACCAAACAUAUCAUUCAACUAAAAUCACUUCCAAACACACCCUAAAAAUAAUCCCAACUGCUGUACACCCACAUGGUAAAUUAAUCAUUCCGAAGAGGCCAAGGUGAUAGCCGCCCACCAUCAUUGAAACCCAUAAGAAUUACCCACCAUUAGUUCUUGUCUUCCAUAUGAACCACUGGCUAAUAACGUUCAAUCAUGGGGUCAUUGUCAAUGUGUAAUAAAUACACCAAAAAUGCAUCCACAAAACUCCAAAUAAUUCAUCCUUUUAUUCUCCUCAACUUUGUCUUCUUCUAUAUCCAACCAUGAACUUCAUUAUUCAAGACAAUGAACCAGAAAACACCAUUCGACCAUCUCUUUUGUUGCAGUCAAUUGAAGCGGUCUCAGAGGCAUAAAGGAUUUGCCCUCUACACCAAUAGCUGCAUGAAAUAAUUGUUGGAAUUUAUAUAGAGGUGAAUGAAAAUUAGGACACAUUUUUUUUCUCUUGGAAGAUGUGUUGUUUCUUAAUAGACACAACUUGUUUUAAAUGUUGUCUCUAGCUUUUUUAAAGACAUGAUCUCUUUCAAAAGAUGUGUUUGGUGUCUUAAGACAACCCUUUAAUGGAUAUGUCUAGUGUUUUAAAGGCACAUCCCUUCUAACAGAUAACAGUUAUCAACAAAAUCUAUAAAUAAGAGUUCCCUUUAUCUUUUCUGAUUCACUCUCUCUUUCAUUCAUUCUUUCCACUGUUUCUCCUUUUUAGUCUCUUAAACUUUCAUUUUUAGCUUCGGGUUUAAUCUUUUUUUUUUCUUACUAAGUUUUUUGGUAUUCAAGAGAGUACAAAUCAUCAAAUGAUUUAUUGUUUCUUAUGAUUUGGAGUGCUUCUAUCAUAAGAAAGUGAUCAUUAUAUCGUGGGAGACAAUUACUUGUACUGUAAGCACUUGAGUAGGGUGAAAUUUGUCUUAAGGACAUAAAGCCAAAUUUUAACCUCAAUCAACUCCAAAAAUCCAUCUAGUCAAUAGUUGGGAAAACAAUAAUUUGUAUAAAUGAAUUAUCUAAACCCUCAUUUGUCAACUUGUUUAGAAGUGAUUAUAGGAAACGUUUUAAUUUUUUUAGCACUUAAAAACAACUCUUUUGAUGAAAAAUUUCAAGUGCUAUAAAUAUUAGAAAUGAUUCUUAUAUAUGAAGAUGCACACUUUUGAUAACCAUAUAUCAUUAAGUAAAAUUUAGAGUUCGUUUGAAAGUGAUUUUGAAAAUACUAAUUUUUUUUAAUUAUCAAAAUUAGAUAUUUGACGAAUUUUUACUAUCUUUUAUCUUUCAACAAUUGAAAAUGUAUAAAUUUAAAUUAUUUUUUUCUUUUUUUUCUUUGCACUUUAUUAUUAUUACAUAAAUUUAAAAAAAAAAAAUCAUAAGUGUCACUACUUUAAUCUUAAUGCACAAAAUUACAAAAAAAAAAAAAGAAAUCCUAAGUAUUACUUUGGUCUUAAUACACAAAAGUACAAAAACAAAAUCCUACACCAUACAAUCCUCCUAACAAAAUACUUAUUCAUACAAGACAUAUUUUGACCUCUUUGUAACCUUCAAUUACAUCAAGAAUCUAAUGAUUCAAAAAAAUUCUAUUCUUAUGUCAAGUCAAAUGACUCUUUUUCGACAAUUGUCUUUUGGACCUGGCCCAAAAAUUAAGAUUUUACCAAUAAAAGUUGCAUAAUUGAUAAGGAGGAAACAAAAUAUGAAGAUACCAAUAUACCAUUCAAAACGAUUUUUUAUCAUAAUAAUUGAGAAACUUAUUGAUCUUAAAAUUUUUUUAAUAAUUAUUCUGAAAAUUUAUUAUUUUUAGAAAACUAAUUUUUUUAAAAAUAUAUUAUAAAAAUAUAUCAUUUAAAAAAAAUAAAUUUGACAUAUUUUUAGUUAUUUUUUAUAUACACAAUUUUAAAAAUAUAUAUUUUCCAAGAUGUUUGAUUUUUAAAUAAUAAUAAUUUAUUUUUAUUUUUAUGGAAAAUUGUGUAUUUUUUUACAAAUUACUAAAUUAUAUUAAAUUUUAUUGAGGUUUGUAAAAUGAAUAAAAUUUAAAUUAAUAUUUUUCUAUUUUUUUAUAGUCAAUAAAUGUUAUUUUUAAAAAAAUAAAAAAUUAAUAUUCUUCUUCUCAAUUUUCACACUUCUUCUAGGUCUUGGACUUAAAUAGUAAACUUAUAUGGAUUAAAACUUAAUUUUUGAAUUCAAUUAGGCACCAAAUGACCUUUCAACGACAGUUUUUCUGUACUUUUUUAAUCAAUCCAACGACAUACAAUUUGUUCUCUUUGUCGCUCAAUGGGAUCACAUCUCCCAAUGCUCUUUUUUUUUAAUUCUUUUUUUCAAAGAAAUGGAUAGGACAUUUUUUUUUUGCCGAGUUUUGGCCCAUUGUAUUACAAAUAAAAUUGAUUUGGCAUAAAUAUAAAUUCUGAAUUGAAUUUAAAAUGACUGUGAGUAUUUAAAAAUUCGAUCGGGUUUGGGACUGAUUUUGAUAUUACCUCACCUUCAUUAUAUGUAUAAUUAUAUACAUAAUAAUUUAAUUUAUUUUUUUAUUCCUUUUUUUUAAUACAUAUAAAAUAAACAUUAUUUUUCUUUUUUAUAAAAAUAAAGAUUAAGUAAGGUAAAGGAAAAAAGAAAUGAUAUAUGAAUAAAUAAUAUAAGAUAAUUUUUUCUCAAAUGAUAUAUAUUUUGAUUGGAUAUAGUUUUAAUACCAUGGUAAGAAAAUUGUACAACCAUACAAUCCUUACUUACCUUCCUUAUGUUUGGUUUAAAAAAAUAUUAGAAAAAAAAAAGAAUGAAAAUAAUUUUCUUUUAUUUGAUUUAAUAUUAAAAAAAUUAAAUAUAAUUAAUAUAUAUAUUUAAAAAAUUAUUUAAUCUUCAUAUAAAAUAGUUAAAAUAAUUUAAAUGAGUUUAAAAUCACGUAUAAAAAUAAUUAAAUAUCUUUAAAUUUAUUUAAUUUAAUUUAUUUUUUUUCCUUUUUUCUUUCAACCCACUUUUACUUCCUCCCAUUUUUCCUUCAAUUUUCCAAAAAGCAAACAUGCCCUUAAAAGGAGAGUCGUGUUUAACUCCAACUCAAAUAGGGUAUUAACACAUUAAAAACAAUUGAGUAAGUCAAAUACUAGCAAAUGUGUUGUUUAAUUUUAUUUUAAACAAAAAAUAUUAUUAAAAAACAAUUUUUUUCAAACAUGAAUACAAAAAUAAGCACUUUUGACUACUUAUUUAAUUUUCACACAUCGAAUCCAUGAAUUCAAUUUUUAUAUUGAGAUCAUUUUUAAAAAUGAAUUCAUUUUGUUUAUGCUAAAAUCAUUUUUUCCAAAGAUAAGUUUCAUAUUAAAUCAUAAAAUGCAUCGUUUAUAACUAUUUUCAAGGAAAUAGGUUUUUUUUUUUUUUUUUUUUUUUUGAAGAAAAAUAUAAAUAAAAAUUAUUGUACCAUGCAAAAAAACCUGUGUUGUUUUCUUGUGAUGGCCCACUAUUGUGACCUUAUAUAGUUGCCUGGAUCAUGUGCGUAUGGCUCUCUAGGCUCAAUGACACGUUUUCUGAGAAUGAGGAAGUUGUUGUGUCGUCUUCAAAUUUUGCACUUUUUUUCUUUCCUUCUGCUCUUACAUUAUUGCAAUACCAACAACAUUUUCGUGGGACCAAUGAAAACAACAUCCACUUCCCCUCCAUGUAUUUAAGACAAAAAAAAAAAAAAAAAUAGUGAUAAGAGCCGUAUGCAACCUGGCACGCCACCGUUUCGAGCAGGCGUGCUAGAAUUUGAAAAAGAUUAAGAGUAUGUUUGACGUUAAUUUUAUUAAAAUAAUACUUUUAUUAUAACACGUUGUAUAAUAAAAGAAACAGAUUUUGGAAGAAACAUCGAUGGAUGAUUCUCUAAUCUUUUAAAAAUUUAUAAAGCAUCUCAUUUUUAUACAAAAUCGCUUUCAACGCUUCUCAAAAUCACUCAAAUGAACGUUAAGAUAUAAAAAAAUGAAACUUGGACGUAAAAUAAUAAAGGAAUAAAAAAUUGAGACUUUGAUAUAAAACAUUGAUAUAAAGUAAAAAGUUUUUGAGUACGUAACGAUGUGUAAGAUUUAAUUUAUUUUAAUGACUAAGAUAUGAUUUGAGAAACUAACGAUAAAUCACAUACUUUAUACUUUGAUCAUAUUUUGAAUCAGAUUGAAAGAAGACAUGUCAUGUGAUGUUGAAAGAAGACAUGUUUUUUUCCCGUGAUGAUGUUUGAAAGAAUCCAAAGAAUUAAAAACGUCUAUCCACAAGUAAUAAACAUGCUAUAGAAAAUAUUAGGUUAAAAAAAACAAUUCAAACACGCAAUAAUAUGAUAUAGGAAAUAUUGAGUCAGUGUGGAAAAGGAUAACCUCCAAGAUAAUUAUAAUUAAAAAUAAUAAUUCAAAAAUCACAAAAAUGGUGCAAUUAAAAUUUAUUUAAAGCCAUAGGGGUGAUCCAGUAAUAAAACAUAAUAUAAUAUCUUCUUAUGUACUACAGAGGAGUACAAUCGAAAUAUUGAGUCAAUGUGGAAAAGGAUAAGUUCCAAGAUAAUUAUAAUUACAAAUAAUAUUUCAAAAAUCACAAAAAUGGUGCAAGUAAAAUUUAUUUAAAGCCUUAGGGGUGAUCCAGUAAUAAAACAUAAUAUAAUAUCUUCUUAUGUACUACAGAGGAGUAGUAUAAUCGAAAUAUUGAGUCAAUGUGGAAAAGGAUAAGUUCCAAGAUAAUUAUAAUUAAAAAUAAUAUUUCAAAAAUCACAAAAAUAGUGUGAGUGAAAUUUAUUUAAAGCCUUAGGAUGAUCUAGUAAUAAAACAUAAUAUAAUAUCUUCUUAUGUACUACAGAGGAGUACAAUCGAUUUAUCAAAUAACAUGCACUUAGGAUGAUCCCUCGAUAAAAUUUUGGGACCUUCAUAUGAAACAUAAUAGAUGAGCAAUAACAAUGAUUUUUCCUUAUGGCAACUCCAUUCCAUUGCGAUGUAUAAACUCAUAUAAAUUGAUAGACAAUUCCAUUUUCAAUACUAGAAGAAGAACAAGAAGGAUCAUUAUAUUUCAGGAUAUUACCAAAUUGAAGAAUACUAAUUGAAAUGCCUAAUGACAUUUAUUUCUUGAUAAAAAAAAGUUUAAAUAUAAAAAGCUUUUAAGACAUUUAUUUAAUCAAAAAUUUCCAAGUGACUCAGAGAACAAAAAAAAAAAAAAAAACUAAAUGUAGAUCAAUGUGUUGAAGAUGAGCAUAAACAUUAUUGAGAGAUUAUAACUUCUCAUAAACAAGUAUACCAUGUUUGACCUUAACAUAUCCAAAAUCGUGGCUAGAAAGAAAUUUAGUAACCUUCAUACACUUGAUUAAUCUUGAUUUUUUUUUUUUUUUGAGAGUAUGUGUUGUGUUUUGCAAUUUCUAAAAACAUGAAGCUACUAAUAUAAGGUAUCAUAGUGUUCCACAACUAUGUUAUUACCAUUUAUCAAAACUUUUAGAUUCUCGAGGAGAAAGAUUUUAUAGGAAAUGUUUUAGUUUUCCUUUUGUCCCAAUAUACACCGUUACGACUUUAGCACAUAAUAAAUUAUUAGGUCCCUUUAACUUUACUGAAAUAAUCAAAAUAUCAAUACUAAUUCCAAAUUUAUGAUCGUUACUAGAUGUCUUCCUUGCCUUUAAAAUAAGGACUAUUUCACUUAAAAUUGAAACAAAUGGAUGUUAGGAAGCCUUUUAGUACUAAUAUAAACUCGCACUAUAUUUGCAUCACAAAAUAAAACCAAUCACAUAAGUAUUAAUAUCGGAGAUCACUAUAGUAAAAUCAUUGUUAGUACAAUAUUAUAACAAAAUCACUAUUUGUACUAAAAAAAUAUUUUUUCAAAGCAAAUUUAUCUUCUAAAGAACAAUUUCUAAACAGGGUUUGAACCUUUUUCAAGAAGAAAUUAGUUAAAGGGUUCUAAUGAACAGGACUUGGGAAAGAUAAGUAUCAUAUAUAGAGAUGUUUGUGCUUAAGAAUAAUAAAAUCCCCAUAUUUGGAAAACAACCUUUACUUCGAUAUUUUAUUUUAUAUAUAUAUAUAUUUUCUUUUGAAAGUGUUUGGAUGUGAAAUGGAAAUAAAAAAAAUUAAGGAGGGGUAUUUUUAUCUGAGAGAAGUUAUAUAUAGUAGUCACAAAAGGCAGGUCAUUCUUUAUAUAAAUAUUGCCAGCUUCAACCGUAUGACAUUAGUAGUACAUAAUUUUCCAUAAUGGGUGGACCUGUGAUGCAAAAGUAGCCAGACAAUCAAAGAGAACCCAGAAACCAAAGUAGAAAAUAAUGCCAGGAAAAAGAAGCAAAGGCUGGUGUGUGACAGAGAUUAGUGGGACCUUCAUCAUUCGAUUAGCUGCCUUUGAGCUCCUCCAUAUCCAUGUACAUGUCACUCAGUUUCCUCCACACCCAAGCUCACCUAUUCUUCAAUAUUGGCUUCCUUGGAUAGCUCAUUGGGUAAAUCCCUUUUCACCUCUCUAGGUGUUUGAUUUUUUUUUUCCUUUUUUGUUAAUGAUUGUUCACCCAUUUGUGGACCCUGAAUGGCUUCAUGCAUCUUCUUCUUCUUCUUCUUCUUUGAUGACUGGUUCAAUUUGUUUGUUGCUACUUUGUGGGUAUUUGUUUAGUGGGUCUUUGAGCAUUUAGUGAGUGUUAAUGUACAAUGGACAAGAACUACAGAACACCAUUCAUGGGCAUUCUCUGGGUUGCUUUCUUUUUGGCAUUUUGUUUUCUCUCAUGUCUUUGUAUAUAUGUUUGUAUAUUCCAUUUUGCUACCUGUUUUCUUCCAAUUUUUUUUAGACACUUUUUUGGAAGUGUUAUGUUUGUGAUUUGUUUACAUUUGGAAGUAUAGUUUGAUUAUUUAUUUUUUAUUGUUAACUCUUUUUUUUUUUAAUUUUAAAAGGAGUAUAAAAGAAUAAAUGCAUGUGAUGAGAUAGCAUAGCGUGUGGACAAAGCAGUACCAUAAAAUUUGAAUUCUAUGGAGAAGCAGCCAUGAGAUGAAACUGGACCCACAAGUCCAAAGUGAAAAAAAAUGACCUCCAGUGGCCUCAUUCAUGACUGCUGAGGUAGAACUGAAGUGGACUUAGUGCUUCUGAACUCUUACAUAUACUUAUAUGCUGCUCAGUUUCCUCCACAAGUAAGCUGAGAUAUCCUCCAUCAAUGGCUUUCUUGAAGAACUCAUUCAGUAUCUUCUAUUUUCCUUCUUUUAAUGUCUUUGAAAUCCUCUCUUUGUAUUGUCUCUUAGCUUGCCUGUGCCCCUGAAUCUUAUUUAUUUGAUGACUAGUUCAAACUCUUUCUCUCUUUGUUGUUUGAAAUACUUGGUGUGUGUUGAAAGUACAAUGGACAAAAACUAUGGAGGACGUUUAAUAGACUUCCAUUUUGUUUUUUUGUUCUUCCUUUUUGCCUUUCGAUUCACCAGGUUGUACUUUGUUUUCUCUCAUGUGUGUGUAUGAACUUAUCUGUGAAUCCCAUCAGCUCUUCUGGUCAUCUGUUCUGGUCCUGCUUGUUUUCUUGUGUAUGUUUUUCUGAUGUUAUGAUUCUGAUUUGUUUUUGUCUAAUGGAUGUACAGGCGGGCUCUCUUGGAUGUGUGGAGAAGAACUUGAUAUGGGCUCCUUUUGCAUUCAAAGAAGUAUAUUAGAUGUCCUGAAUCUGCUGUUUCUCUCUGUUUUCUGUGUGCUUUUGGUUAUAGGCUCUAUUAGAAAACAUGAGAUCAGUCGGUGCAGCAGGAGGGACUGGGUCUCUAGGGGUGUUUCAAUCUGUUGUGCUCUUAUUAGCAUUGGAUAUCUCAGUGCUGGUUUUUGGGAUCUAUACGCGAAAAAUGAAGGGCCUAGGCUUUCGAGUUGGCCAGUUUACUUUGUUAGAGGGCUAAUUUGGAUCUCUUUGACAGUGUCAUUGCUUGUUCAAAGAUCCAAGUGGACAAGAAUUCUUAGUUCUAUCUGGUGGAUGUCCUUCUUCUUAUUGGUUUCAGCUCUAAAUAUCGAAAUUAUAGUAGAGACACAUAGUAUUCAAAUCUUUGUCAUGGUGCCAUGGCUCGUGAACUUCUUACUUCUCUUUUGUGCUUUUAGGAACAUCUGUCCCUCUCUUUCUCUAGAGGCCUCAGAUAAGAGUGUAUCUGAACCUCUAUUAGCCAAAAACCCUGUGAAAAGCUCAAUAGAUUUCAGCAAGAGUAGCUUCAUCAGCAAGUUGACCUUUUCUUGGAUUAAUCCAUUACUCCGCUUGGGUUACUCAAAACCAUUAGUUCUAGAAGAUAUUCCUUCUCUAACACCGGAGGACGAGGCUGAAUUGGCCUACAAAAACUUUGCUCAUGCAUGGGAACUUCUUCAAAGAGAGAAAAACUCAACCAACACUAGUAAUUUGGUUCUUAGAGCCCUGGCCAAAGUUUACUGGAAAGAAACGGUUUUUGUAGCGAUUUGUGCGCUCCUUAGGACGAUUUCUGUAGUAGUUUCUCCUUUGUUACUCUAUGCUUUUGUGAAUUAUUCAAAUCGCAAGGAGGAAAAUUUGUCUGAAGGCCUUUUCUUAGUGGGGUGUUUGGUUAUUGCCAAGGUGGUGGAAUCUGUGUCUCAAAGGCAUUGGUUCCUUGAUUCAAGAAGGUCUGGGAUGAGGAUGAGAUCAGCUUUAAUGGUGGCUGUAUACCAGAAGCAGCUCAAGCUUUCAAGUUUGGGAAGGAGAAGGCACUCAGCUGGGGAGAUUGUGAACUAUAUAGUGGUCGAUGCUUAUCGAAUGGCGGAAUUUCUUUGGUGGUUCCACUCAAUGUGGAGUUACAUGUUGCAACUUUUUCUAUCCAUUGGAGUCCUUUUUGUGGUUGUGGGACUUGGAGCUCUUUCAGGCUUAGUCCCUCUUUUCAUAUGUGGAUUUCUUAAUGUGCCAUUUGCAAAGAUACUGAAAACCUGCCAAACCGAACUCAUGAUGGCUCAAGAUCGGCGACUCAGAUCUACUUCAGAGAUCCUUAACAGUAUGAAAGUCAUCAAGUUACAGUCAUGGGAAGAUAAAUUCAAGAACUUGAUUGAAUCCCUCCGAGAAGUUGAAUUCAAAUGGUUGGCUGAAGCACAGUACAAGAAGUGUUAUAAUACUGUACUGUAUUGGUUAUCUCCAACCAUCAUCUCUUCGGUUAUCUUUGUGGGAUGUGCUCUUUUAGGUGCCCCAUUAAAUGCCAGCACCAUAUUCACCAUUCUUGCAGCACUGAGGUGCAUGGGAGAGCCUGUCAGAAUGAUACCUGAGGCUUUAUCUGCUUUGAUCCAAGUCAAGGUCUCCUUUGAUCGGCUCAAUGCCUUUUUGCUGGAUGAUGAGCUCAAAAGUGAGGAAAUAAGGCACGUUACAUGGCCAAAUUCAGGUCACAGUGUCAAAAUAAAUGCAGGUAAGUUCAGUUGGGAACCAGAGUCAGCCAUUCUAACCCUCAGAGAAGUAAAUUUGACAGUACAACGGGGGCAUAAAAUAGCGAUUUGCGGACCAGUUGGGGCAGGGAAAUCAUCACUCUUGCAUGCUAUACUUGGAGAGAUACCAAAAAUUUCAGGAACUGUGAGUUGCAAAACCAUUUAGUAUCAUAGAUCAUUUACAAAUUUGAUUUGCUAAUUUUUUUUUCCCUUCUGCUGGUUGCAAACAGGUUGAUGUAUUUGGUUCCAUUGCCUAUGUUUCUCAAACUUCUUGGAUCCAAAGUGGGACGAUUCGUGACAACAUUCUCUACGGAAAACCAAUGGAUACAACCAAAUAUGAGAAAGCCAUAAAAGCAUGUGCCUUAGAUAAGGAUAUAAACAGUUUUGACCAUGGUGAUGAAACAGAAAUCGGUCACAGAGGGCUUAAUAUGAGUGGAGGACAGAAGCAGAGGAUGCAACUUGCUCGAGCUGUCUAUAAUGAUGCCGAUAUCUACCUCCUGGAUGACCCUUUUAGUGCAGUAGAUGCACAUACAGCUGCAAUUCUUUUCAAUGUAAGAUUGAAUAUGUUAGCCUGCAGAUAAAUUUGCAUAUGGAAACUUCAACUGAAUUUCAAUUACACAACUGCAGGAAUGCGUCAUGGCUGCUCUUGCUCAUAAAACCGUCAUUCUAGUGACUCAUCAAGUGGAGUUUCUCUCUGAAGUUGAUAAAAUUCUGGUAAUAAGGCUUACUCUGAAAGCAAUAAAUAUUUCCUUGUAUAUAUGAUUAUGAGAACAAAAAUUAUCUGCCUUCUGCAUUUCUAGGUUAUGGAAGCUGGACAGAUAACUCAAUCAGGAAGCUAUGAGGAGCUCUUGACAUCAGGGACAGCAUUUGAGCAGCUUGUAAAUGCACAUAAGAAUGCAGUAACAGUAUUGGAAUUUUCAAAUGAUGAACAAGUAGAACCUCAAAAAUUGGAUCAGAAUCUGCUAGAGAAGUCCCAUGGAUCUCUCUUCACCAAAGAAAACAGUGAAGGGGAGAUUUCUAUGAAGGGUCUGCCUGGGGUUCAGCUCACUGAAGAAGAAGAGACAGAGAUUGGUGAUGUUGGGUGGAAGCCAUUCUUGGAUUAUCUCCUUGUCUCAAAUGGAAUGCUCCUGAUGUCUUUAGGCAUAAUAACUCAGUCUGGUUUUAUUGCCCUUCAGGCAGCUUCUACUUAUUGGCUAGCACUAGGCAUUCGGAUUCCUAACAUCAGCAACACCUUGCUAAUUGGAGUUUAUACUGCAAUUUCAACACUCAGUGCUGUAUUUGUGUAUUUCAGGUCUUUCUGUGCCGCCCGUCUAGGAUUAAAAGCUUCUAAAGCCUUUUUUGCAGGCUUUACCAAUUCCAUUUUCAAUGCUCCAAUGCUCUUCUUUGACUCUACCCCAGUUGGGCGUAUUUUGACCCGAGUAAGAUUAUCUUCUUUUCUUUCAGAAUAACCUCAGGAACCAUACUCUUUUAUGUGCCUGCUGAAGUUCAAUCUUGCAGGCUUCUUCAGAUUUCAGUGUUGUGGAUUUCGAUAUACCUUUCUCCAUUAUCUUUGUGGUAGCAGCUGGUCUCGAACUUAUAACAACCAUUGGAAUUAUGGCCUCAGUCACAUGGCAAGUUCUCUUUGUAGCCAUUUUUGCUAUGGUUACUGCAAACUAUGUUCAGGUAGAUACUAUUUUUUAGCAUACGUGCUUUGAUCUCUCUAUUCUUCUUUGCUAAUAGACACACAAAAAUCUGAUUAUUAUCUCGUUUUCCUUUUGACUAAAAGGGGUAUUAUUUAGCCUCUGCAAGAGAGCUAAUAAGGAUCAAUGGAACGACAAAAGCUCCUGUUAUGAAUUAUGCAGCUGAGACAUCACUUGGAGUGGUCACUAUAAGGGCCUUUAAAAUGGUGGACAGGUUCUUCCAAAACUACCUAGAGCUCAUAGACACGGAUGCAAAGCUGUUCUUCUAUUCUAAUGCAGCCAUUGAAUGGCUAGUUUUAAGAAUAGAAAUGCUCCAGAAUCUGACUUUAGUCACUGCUGCUCUUCUCCUUGUUCUACUUCCCAAGGGUGUUGUAGUUCC
rnacentral:lncRNA from 1 species